rnacentral:rRNA from 1 species
GGGGAAUAUUGGACAAUGGGCGCAAGCCUGAUCCAGCCAUGCCGCGUGAGUGAUGAAGGCCUUAGGGUUGUAAAGCUCUUUUAUCCGGGACGAUAAUGACGGUACCGGAAGAAUAAGCCCCGGCUAACUUCGUGCCAGCAGCCGCGGUAAUACGAAGGGGGCUAGCGUUGCUCGGAAUCACUGGGCGUAAAGGGCGCGUAGGCGGACAUUUAAGUCAGGGGUGAAAUCCCGGGGCUCAACCUCGGAAUUGCCUGUGAUACUGGGUGUCUCGAGACCGGAAGAGGUAAGCGGAACUGCGAGUGUCGAGGUGAAAUUCGUAGAUAUUCGCAAGAACACCAGUGGCGAAGGCGGCUUACUGGUCCGGUUCUGACGCUGAGGCGCGAAAGCGUGGGGAGCAAACA